UACGUAGGGGGCAAGCGUUGUCCGGAAUCAUUGGGCGUAAAGAGCGUGUAGGUGGCUCGGUAAGUCUGCUGUGAAAGUCCAGGGCUCAACCCUGGAAUGCCGGUGGAAACUGUCGGGCUAGAGUCCGGAAGAGGCGAGUGGAAUUCCUGGUGUAGCGGUGAAAUGCGCAGAUAUCAGGAGGAACACCAAUGGCGAAGGCAGCUCGCUGGGACGGUACUGACACUGAGACGCGAAAGCGUGGGGAGCAAACAGG
rnacentral:rRNA from 1 species